AUGUUUGAGCUGCCUCGAGCCUUGUGGUCUGUGUUAAACAGUGCAGCUUUAGUGCAGGAGGUUUUUGUACAGACACUGAAUGAGGUUGUAUCACUGUGGUACACUUUUGGUGGAGGAACUCGACUCUCUGUUGGAAGUGAUGCUCGGCCCACCCUUACAGUGUUGCCCCCCUCUAGUGUGGAGUUGAAGCAGGGGAAGGCUACACUGGUGUGUUUGGCCAACAAGGGUUUCCCCUCAGACUGGACGCUGAGCUGGAAGGUGGACGGUAACAGCCCGACGUCAGGUGUGAGUGUGAGUGGGGGUGUGCUGGAGAAGGGAAACGGCCUCUACAGCUGGAGCAGCACCCUGAGCCUCACUGAGCAGCAGUGGAGGAACGCACAUGCAGUGAGCUGUGAGGCCAGACAGGGCAGCCAAAGCCCAGUCACCAACAGCCUGACCCCACAGCAGUGCUAGUGUUUCUGCUGAUGAGCUGCUCAACAGUUUUUCAGCUCAGUUCAGUGCC